rnacentral:misc_RNA from 1 species
UCUCCGUAGGUGAACCUGCGGAAGGAUCAUUAUUGUAUAACCGAGGUGCGAGGGCUGUCGCUGACCCGAAAGGUCGUGCACGCCCGAGUGCCCUCACACACAUCCAUCUCACCCCCUAUGUGCACCACCGCGUGGGUCCCCCUUUGGCUUGUUCGGAGGGGGGCUUACGUUUUCACACAAACUUUGUAUGCAGUGUAGAAUGUAUUUUUUGUUUUUGCGAUCACGCAAUCAAUACAACUUUCAACAACGGAUCUCUUGGCUCUC